CCUGAACCCGUCCCGCGCGUCCAGGUCCACGGCCCCCGUCCCGUUGGUGCCGUUCAUCGGGAAGUUGGCGUCCGGAGCCAGCCGCUCCGUGGCGCUGCCCACCAUGAUGCUGAUCACGGCAAAGGUACCUGAACGCAGCUCACCAAUGGAGAUGUGUCUGGAAGUACCGAAGAUGAAGUAGACCAGCACCGGGUAGAGGGAGGUGUAGAGGCCGUACACCGGGCGCAAGGAGGCCAGGAGGGCGUAGGCCAUGCCUAAGGGACGAGAAAUGAGAAAUACAUUCACAUUUGGGAUCUUUUACUGCAAGAAAAGUCUGACUUGCUUGAGCGGGAUGGAGCGAGUGGAGCAGAUACACCCCCAUUAUUUCAUUCAUGUCACUCUCCAUCCUUAUAAAAAGACCCUUCAAGUAUCAAAUGUGACUUCUGCAUCCUGCACAUCAGAUGUCUCGUGGACACUUUGACACGCUGACCAGAGAAACCUGGGACCGCAUCCAUCCUCCUGAGCUCCAUCAUACUGGAACAUCACGUGACCACUUUGAACCCGCCUUUAUCAAUGAUCGUUUUGAUACAACAACAAGAAAAGGAUUUUGGACUUUGGGUCGUUUGGUAUUUUCCUGAUUUGUUUUUUUUUGUCUUAAUAGAUUUUUGUGGAGUUUUGUGUUUCCCUUCCUGCCUGGAAGUGUUUGUUUCAUUGGUUCAUUAACCUGUUGCUACUUCAGUGUCUUUACUUCAGUGAUGUUUCGUACUUUGGGUUAUUUUCAUUUCCCUGACUGGGUUGGUAUUUCAAGGAGUAAGUGACCUUUUCCUUAUAUUUCAUUGGGUUUUGUGCUACUAUCUAAACAUAGAAAUGGGACAACUUUGCCUUCAGGGCUUUCAAAAGGAAAGACGUUAUGGUGAAUUAAAGAAGCAUCGAAGCUU